AUAUGCAUAUUGCAAAAGACGGAGAAUAUCGCAAUAAAUCGCAAACCCAAAAUGUGUUAAAACAAUCUUCUAGCAGCUUGAAGCAUUUAACGAAUUGUAACCCUUGGCAUCAGACUAGCCAUCAGACUAACUGUGAACACCUGGCCCCGCCCUUAUUAUGAGAGGCCCGGUGUGUAUAUAAGUUCCUGGUCAGCUGGUGCACUUCCUGCUUGCUGCUUGCUACUUCCUGCUUCCUGCUGGCUGCUUCUUGCUCUCAGCUGUUGCUGCUGCUGUGGCCACACCAGGACGCCUAAAACAUUUUCUUAAUACGAACAUAUUUGGACACCUCAGCAUUUACCUUUGGACACUAACUAACCCCAAAGAGACCUGCUCAUUGGUCAGGUUUUUGUUAUGUAUGCUUUGAUCUACAACUUGAUGGCGAGCCACCCAAAUCUGAGCUCGUGAUACUUCCACCCUCAAUAACAACUCCUCACCUGCAGGAAACCUCAACUACAUCCCAACCAAUAGACUUUUGGAAACCACUCAAUAGGACUCAGACCCAUAUCCCGGUUCCUUUUGUUGUUUGUUUGUAUUGUUUAAAUGUCUAUUUUCUGUUAAUACAAUCGAUUGCAUUUUACUUUUA